rnacentral:ncRNA from 1 species
AACGGGAUAGCUGAAAACCGAAUAGAGUAAGCA